GUCGGAGUCGACCGCCCGGCGGAGGAUGUCGACCUCGCGGUACACCUGGCGGCGAAGCGAGACGUCAGCAGCGUCGGUGUUCACCACCUUGAGCGCGUACAAGGCGGCGGUGCGGCGGUGGCGGACCUUAUAGACGGUUCCCCCGUUGCCGUGGCCGAGAACCCGGAUCUUCUCGAAGUCCGAGAACCGGAACUCGGCCGACGGCGGGGUGGCGGCGGAGGCCGAGGCCGAGGCGGAGGAGAAGGCAGAAGACAUGGAGCAUGGCGGCAGCAGGGGCGGGAGCGCGAAGCGGAGGCGGCAGUCGGCGGUGGCGCCGGUGUCGGGGAGCUCGAGAGUGAGGUUGAGGUGAGGGAGCCUUCGGUCGCGGACGACGGCCAUGCGGAUUGGGGGAA
rnacentral:lncRNA from 1 species